CUUUAUUUAGACAGGGAGUCAAUGCUGAGACCAAGGUGUCUUUAUUUAGACAGGGAGUCAAAACUGAGACCAAGGUGUCUUUAUUUAGACAGGGAGUCAAUGCUGAGACCAAGGUGUCUUUAUUUAGACAGGAAGUCAAUGCUGAGACCAAGGUGUCUUUAUUUAGACAGGGA